GUUUAUUUCAAGCACACUGACGAUGCGGAUAUUAAUUCCGAAGUUACAUGCGGUGAUUUAAAUAACAGUGCAGAUUGCAGUGCAUUUGCAUCGUCAGCAAAUGACAAGACGGCUGUAACUUCAGAUGAAAAUGUUGUUCAGCUCGUUGAUGACAGUGAGAAUGAUGAUGGAGAGAAUGUUUACAUGGAUGCGACAGGGGGACAACACUCCGUCCAGGAUUCUAUUGUGAAACAUGUAGUGUCAGAUUCGUUUUACAAGAUUAAAACGACAGAAAAUGUGUUCGACAAAAAAGACCAGUUUUACAAAAGAAGAUUGGAGUGCCUUGAGAAAGAACAUAAAAUAAAAGUACAUUGUAUUCUCGCGGAACAUGAAAUAAAAAUGGUAACACUGAAAUUGGAUAGAGAAAUUAGAG